rnacentral:lncRNA from 1 species
UAGAGCACUCCUGCUGUGGUGACAAGACUCUGAAGAGAACGGCAGAUGGCUCCCCACUGCCCUCAGGAUGACAUCCAAAUGGCGUAUGACUGGAUUCAAAGGCCACGCUCCUCCCCUACCCUUGCCCUGGCACGGGAGAAAUGCCAGCCACGGGGAGCAGAGCAGCUCCAAACCUUGGAGUGGGGCUCCUGAGGCUCCAGGCUGGCCCCAUAUGGAGUGCUUCUUCUCUCCGACACCUCUGCGUUUAACUCUGGAACGUCCCUCAGUACUUAGAUGCGGCCUGCUCCGACGGACAUCACCAGUCACGCUGUCCUGA